GUCUACAAAGUAAAGCUUUGUUUCUUCAUUAUUUCCCCGGCUAGAUCUAGAAAUUUCUGUCAAAAUUCUUUCUUGAUUUGAUGAUGGGUUCUUCAACAAUAUUGUCAUCUCUUACCGAUCUGAACACUAUUAUUACUUCUACUCUGAUUAUUCUACUGAAACUGCAUGAAGACGAAGAUGAAACUCUUUGUGUUGUUGAUGAUGAUUUACUCACACAAUGAUUUUUCCUCUCAAAACUCAAGUUUAUACCCUUUGCCUCCAUCUGACAACUGAAGAGUUUCUUCUGUUCAUCCAGAACCUCAAGUUGUGAUGUCUACACAUGAUGGGCAUGUUUAUUGAUUCCUGAGCAAUUUUUCAAAUCUUUGUGCCAAUAUUUCAGACAUUUGCAGGGCUGUGAUCCUGACUUGUGAGAUUAUAACCUUCAAUAACACUAUCAAGGAGUUGUCUGUGCAACAGUGCAAGAAUUUAACUGAGAUGGAAUUCAACUCGAUGUUUUGACAUGGGGGACACUUAUAGUUAUAUGUGGGCGUUGUAGAAUUGGGAAAGUCAGUCUUGCUUGAACUGAAGUUGCAUAGGGAGAUAGGGAGUUGGAACUGCAACCCAAAUGUGACCGUGCUCAUACCUCUUUGAUUUGUGGGUUUUGCAAACAACUUAAAUCACAGGAAGAGUGCCCCUCUUCUUUUAACAGUUUUAAACUGAAAUGAAUAUCAGUAGCUAUCUUAUAAUUGAUUGAUAUCACUAGUGAUGUGUAUGCACUCUCAGUUCUGUAAUACUUUUGGACUCUUUGUUUUUCUCUUA